UACGGAGGGUGCGAGCGUUGUCCGGAAUCACUGGGCGUAAAGGGCGCGUAGGCGGCGCGGGGAGUCAACGGUGAAAGCUCGGCGCUCAACGCCGAGUCGGCCGUCGAUACUCCCGUGCUUGAGCACUGUAGAGGCAGGUGGAAUUCCGGGUGUAGCGGUGGAAUGCGUAGAGAUCUGGAGGAAUACCGGUGGCGAAGGCGGCCCCCUGGACAAAGACUGACGCUCAGGUGCGAAAGCGUGGGGAGCAAACAGG
rnacentral:rRNA from 1 species